UUGGCUGAGAGGUAAAGCGCUCGUCUACAGGGCGAGAGUUCCCUGGUCCAAAUCCCAGUGCUGAUAAA